rnacentral:rRNA from 1 species
AAUAGCCUAACGGCUGAACCAGCAACUUGGAGGAAUGUAUAGCAAUAGCUAAUUGUACUUUAAAGUGCAAUAUCGAUAAUAUCGAAUAAAAUUCUGAGUAAGUCUAGAUGAUGACUUAAUUUACUCAUAGGUCUUGACUAAAAUGCGUGCCAGCAGUCGCGGUAAGACGUAUAAGACAAGUGUUAUUCAUCUUUAGCAGGUUUAAAGGGUACUUAGACGGCUGAUCAAGCCAUAGAAGGGACUAAUCAGCUAGAGUUACUUGUAAAGGGGCUUAUAAGUACUAGUGGAGUAGAGAUAAAAUGCUAAUAUACCUUUUUUUGUAAAAAUUGGAAUGGCACUGAUAAAGGCGAAGGCAUCCCCUUAUGUGAUAACUGACGUUAAAGGACGAAGGCUUUGAGUUGCGAACAGGAUUAGAUACCCUGGUAGUCGAAGCAGAGAAUGAUGAGUGUCAUAGAUUAGCUUAAGUUUAAUCUAUAAAUGAAAGUGUAAACACUCCACCUUAAGAGUAAUGUGGCAACACCGAAAUUGAAAUCAUUAGACCGUUUCUGAAACCAGUAGUGAAGUAUGUUGUUUAAUUUGAUGAUCCGCAAAACACCUUACCACAACUUGAAUAUUUAUAGCUACCAGCUAUAAUUACAAGCGUUGCACGGCUGUCUGAAGUUAAUGUCGUGAGAAUUUGGUUAGCUCCAUUAAAUUGACGCAAACCCUCGUUUUAUUUUUAUAUGGAACGGUUCACCGUUAUAUUGGAUAUGAUAAUAGGGAAGAAGACAAGUCAUCAUGGCCUGAAUGUUGUGGGCUAUAGACGUGCUGCAUAUUCCAUUACAAAGGGAUGUGAAAUUGUGAAAUUUAACUAAUCCUUAAAACUGGAUAAAUU